rnacentral:rRNA from 1 species
GUAGGUGGCAAGCGUUGUCCGGAAUUAUUGGGCGUAAAGCGCGCGCAGGGCGGUCCUUUAAGUCUGAUGUGAAAGCCCACGGCUCAACCGUGGAGGGUCAUUGGAAACUGGGGGACUUGAGUACAGAAGAGGAAAGCGGAAUUCCAAGUGUAGAGGUGAAAUGCGUAGAGAUUUGGAGGAACACCAGUGGCGAAGGCGGCUUUCUGGUCUGUAACUGACGCUGAGGCGCGAAAGCGUGGGGAGCAAACAGGAUUAGAUACCCUGGUAGUCCACGCCGUAAACGAUGAGUGCUAAGUGUUAGGGGGUUUCCGCCCCUUAGUGCUGCAGCUAACGCAUUAAGCACUCCGCCUGGGGAGUACGGCCGCAAGGCUG